rnacentral:rRNA from 1 species
UCGUAAUUCAACCUUGGCUCUGGCUGGCCGGUCCGCCUCACCNGCGAGUACUGGUCCGGCUGGAGCUUUCCUUCUGGGGAACCUCAUGGCCUUCACUGGCUGUGGGGGGAACCAGGACUUUUACUGUGAAAAAAUUAAAGUGUUCAAAGCAGGCCUUUGCUCGAAUACGUUAGCAUGGAAUAAUAGAAUAGGACGUGCGGUUCUAUUUUUUUGGGUUCUAGGACCGCCAUAAUGAUUAAUAGGGAUAGUCGGGGGCGUCAGUAUUCAGCUGUCANAGGUGAAAUUCUUGGAUUUGCUGAAUACUAACUACUGCGAAAGCAUUCGCCAAGGAUGUUUUCAUUAAUCAGGGAACCAAAGUUAGGGGAUCGAACACGAUCAGAUACCGUCGUANNCUUAACCAUAAACUAUGCCGACUAGGGAUCGGACGGGAUUCUAUUAUGACCCGUUCGGCACCUUACNAGAAAUCAAAGUUUUUGGGUUCUGGGGGGAGUAUGGUCGCNAGGCUGAAACUUAAAGAAAUUGACAGAAGGGCACCACAAGGCGUGGAGCCUGCGGCUUAAUUUGACUCAACACGGGGAAACUCACCAGGUCCAGACAAAAUAAGGAUUGACAGAUUGAGAGCUCUUUCUUGAUNNUUUGGAUGGUGGUGCAUGGCCGUUCUUAGUUGGUGNAGUGAUUUGUCUGCUUAAUUGCGAUAACGAACGAGACCUNNGCCCUUAAAUAUCCCGAUUCGCAUNNGCGGGCCGCUGGCUUCNNNNGGGGACUAUCGGCUCAAGCCGAUNGAAGUGCGCGGCAAUAACAUGUCUGUGAUGCCCUUANAUGNUCUGGGCCGCACGCACGCUACACUGACAGGGCCAUCGAGUACAUCACCUAAACCGAGAGGUUUGGGUAAUCUUG